CACAAAGGCUUGGUCCUGACUUUACUGUCGGCUCUAGCUAGACUUACACAUGCAAGUAUCCGCCCCCCUGUGAGAAUGCCCUCCAGUCUCCCGCCCGGAGACAAGGAGCCGGUAUCAGGCACGGUUAACACCAGCCCAUGACACCUUGCUUAGCCACACCCUCAAGGGACACCAGCAGUGAUAAAUAUUAAGCUAUAAGUGAAAACUUGACUUAGUUAAAGCUUAGAGGGCCGGUAAAACUCGUGCCAGCCACCGCGGUUAUACGAGAGGCCCAAGUUGACAGACUACGGCGUAAAGAGUGGUUAGGGAAACUCUUAGACUAAAGCCGAACGUCCUCAAAGCUGUUUAACGCUUCCGAGUUAAGAAGAUCCAUUACGAAAGUAGCUUUACCCAACCUGACCCCACGAAAGCUGUGAAACAAACUGGGAUUAGAUACCCCACUAUGCUCAGCCCUAAAAUUUGAUAGGCCAACUACGCCCCCUAUCCGCCCGGGUACUACAAGCAUCAGCUUAAAACCCAAAGGACUUGGCGGUGCUUCACAUCCGUCUAGAGGAGCCUGUUCUAGAACCGAUAACCCCCGUUAAACCUCACCCUCCCUUGUUAAUACCGCCUAUAUACCGCCGUCGUCAGCCUACCCUGUGAAGGACUAGAAGUGAGCAAGAUUGGUAAGACCCAAAACGUCAGGUCGAGGUGUAGUGUAUGAGAGGGGAAGAAAUGGGCUACAUUUCCUAAAUCAGGAAAUACGAAUAAUGAACUGAAAUAAGCAUUAGAAGGUGGAUUUAGCAGUAAGCAGUAAAACAGAGUGUUCUGCUGAAAUUUGGCAAUAAAGCACGCACAUAUCGCCCGUCACUCUCCCCGAGCUAAUACAAAAGCAAAUACCUAAAAAACUACAUCUGCAAAGGGGAGGCAAGUCGUAACAUGGUAAGCGUACCGGAAGGUGCGCUUG
rnacentral:ncRNA from 1 species